AGCAUUUGGCGUGGGCGAAGCCUGACCGCAAUGCCGCGGGAGGGGAUGAAGGCCCUAGGGUUGUAAAGCUCUUUUACCCGGGAAGAUAAUGACUGUACCGGGAGAAUAAGCCCCGGCUAACUCCGUGCCAGCAGCCGCGGUAAUACGGAGGGGGCUAGCGUUGUUCGGAAUUACUGGGCGUAAAGCGCACGUAGGCGGCUUUGUAAGUCAAAGGUGAAAGCCUGGAGCUCAACUCCAGAACUGCCUUUGAGACUGCAUCGCUUGAAUCCAGGAGAGGUCAGUGGAAUUCCGAGUGUAGAGGUGAAAUUCGUAGAUAUUCGGAAGAACACCAGUGGCGAAGGCGGCUGACUGGACUGGUAUUGACGCUGAGGUGCGAAA
rnacentral:rRNA from 1 species